CUUGGCGGCCAUAGCGUUUUGGACCCACCUGAUCCCAUUCCGAACUCAGAAGUGAAACGAAAUAGCGCCAAUGGUAGUGUGGGGUUUCCCCAUGUGAGAGUAGGACAUCGCCAGGC
rnacentral:rRNA from 1 species